ACUCCUACGGGAGGCAGCAGUGGGGAAUAUUGCACAAUGGGCGAAAGCCUGAUGCAGCGACGCCGCGUGAGGGACGACGGCCUUCGGGUUGUAAACCUCUUUCAGUAGGGAACAAGGCAUCAUUUUGUGGUGUUGAGGGUACUUGCAGAAGAAGCACCGGCUAACUACGUGCCAGCAGCCGCGGUAAUACGUAGGGUGCAAGCGUUAUCCGGAAUUAUUGGGCGUAAAGAGCUCGUAGGCGGUUUGUCGCGUCUGUCGUG
rnacentral:rRNA from 1 species